AAAUAGCUAAUUACAAAUGAGCUGCUGGGUUGUUCACAGCGUGCCUGAGCAGUUCCUGCGGGGACAGCAGUGCUGUGCUCCAUGCAGGUCUGUGCAGGGGGUGUGAGUGACCGUGUCUGGUGCAACAGAAGGUGCAGUGACACCUGAGAGAAAAAUAAAAAGGGUGUUUUAGGAGCCAGGAGGGAGAGCAGAUGGUGCUGGGAAUGACACAGGUGCCCCGAGUCACAAAGCCGUGUGCUCUGAUGUGGGAUGAAUUGCCACCAGCUGGGGGAAGCUGGAGGUGGGCUUUAGCACUUGUUCCUGAGCACCGGGGGGGUGAGAUGUGUCCCAGUGAGGUGCUGGGGAGGGCUCAGCUCCUUCUGUUGGCUCCUUGGGAUUGCUGGCAUGAGAGUGGGUGCGUGUUUGGCUGUGGGCAGGACUGCCUUUCCACAGCUUGUGGAUUCAGAAGUGCUGAAUCCAUGUCAGAAGAAAAAGUGUUUAAAGACCUUUCAGCCUCCCUCUGUCUGAUGGAACAACGUGUGACCGAGCACAGCUUGUGCCUUGUAGGAGCGAUGACGUGCUUGGGAACAAGUGACUUUCUGCGUCGUCUGCCACGGGCUGUUGACACAGUGUCACUGAUGUACCCUGCUGAUGGACCCCAUGCUUUUCCCUCCAGACUGUGGCAUGGCUCUGUGUUAUGUUCAGAUCUGCCAGUAAAAUUUCUGGGAGGCAAGCUAACGCAGCGGGAGGGGAGACCUCCGGUGGCCUGGUACAGCACAUCCCAAACUUGCCCUGCUGCCUGGGUGUGCCAUGAAAGGCUGGGGACCUCUGGAUGUCAGCAUCUGGGGCCUGCCUGCAGGUGCUGGGAUGACUUGGGACAGCUGUGUGUGUCCUCUGCCUGA
rnacentral:lncRNA from 1 species